UAUUUUUUUGGGUUUGGGAUUAAAAUUGCACAGUUCAUAUAUAUUAUCUACUUAAAAUGCCCCACAAAAAUUGAGGAAGUUCUUAAAUUCUAAAAUGGUGUUUUAACAAGUUUCAGUUUUUGGUCAUCAUGUUAUCCUAUUAGUUACACUCUUUUAUGUAUAGCAACAAAAAUCUGAAUUUUAAAUCACAGUUAACUAGUUGUGAAUACAUUUAAAACAAAUUGACUUCAAUUUAGAAAAUUAUCAACUUUCAAAUACAAAAACUAACAGAUAAAUAAAGAAACAUAUCACUGGCUCUACUAAAAUAUGACAUAACUCUAAAAUGGUACUUUUCAGUAGACUGCUUAAAAUAAAAUAUUCUAAACCAUUCCUAAGCCAUAACAAAAAGUUUAUGGGUUUUAUUUCUUGGACAUCCCGAUAUGGUUGACUUAAAAGUUAAAACAAAAAAUGGCUACGUAGAGGUUAAGUAUUUGCCUAAUAGCUCAACGGCUCUUAUACAACCAAUGGAUUAGAAUGUCAUCUAGACAUUAAAGGCGCAUUAUAAAAAGCGUUUACUGAUGGAUAUUGUGUGCCAACCAGACGCAGAUAUCACAUAAUUUUUAAAGAAAUUAGAAAUUAAAGACGAGGUUAUCAAUGCAGCAUUUGCAAGGCAACAAGUAAAACCGUCAACUCUAAUUAAAUCCUAGAAAAAUAUAUGGUCAGGAAAUCCAAUGCUCAAACAAAA